UUUCUCGCCCAAUGGCGAUCGCACCAACAACACGUCUAAGAUCCUCCUAUUUCACCCCAGGUUUCAGAUGUCAGACAAAACCAAUCCUGUCACAGAACUGAAUAUAUAAAUAUACAUAUAAAGCAUGCUUCACGAGUAUUGAGAUUUGAAUUCCAUAAGAGAAUAAUUAUAAAACGUGAGAUUAAAGAUGAUGAAAUAUUACCUUUUAAUCGCUUUGCAAGCUGCUUUUCUCCAACUGUUCGUUUCGGCAAGAUUUGACCGAUUUGGUGAACGUCAGACAUUCCCGUACACUAGUCUACCUGUUCAUGUUGAUCAGGGUUCUGCUGAUUUCAUUGAUCGACAUAAUAAUGACCUGCUAUUUCCCAUGGUGCAUCAUGGUCUACACGACCAGCCUGAUCAACACGGCGUGAAGAGGGACAUGGGAGCCAUGUGGAAUAAAUCAACAGCGGCUAGCCAGGCUUCCACUCCACAUCAACAUGACCAAUGCAAACACACCAGAGGGACCAGUUACCAGAGAUUCAUCAAAGACAGAUUUUCCGCAUUUAGUAGAUCCAACAUCCGAAGACUGUUAUAUCGAUUUGGAAAAUAAUUUGAUAAAGAGAAAAUUUGAAA